AUGACCUUACUUGAACAGGAUCUGUUCUAUAGGUUCGUACUUCUGUAUCCUUGAGUUCUAAGGAGACAGGAAAUUAAGUCUGGUUGAUGAACAGUGGUCAAGGGGCUAGAGCCUUGGCUGUCUGACAGGUU
rnacentral:snoRNA from 1 species